ACUUCAAAUGUGAAUAUGGAAGCUUAAGAAUAGAUUCCAUUUCGAUACGGAGAAGAUUAGCAUGGCCGCUGCCCAAGGAUGAUACGCAAAUUCGUGAAGCAUUCCAUAGUUUU
ensembl:snRNA U6 U6 spliceosomal RNA